rnacentral:rRNA from 1 species
CACGUCGGGCGCAAGCGUUGUCCGGAAUUAUUGGGCGUAAAGAGCUCGUAGGCGGUCUGUUGCGUCCGCUGUGAAAACCCGGGGCUUAACCCUGGGCUGGCAGUGGAUACGGACAGACUAGAGGUAGGUAGGGGAGAAUGGAAUUCCCGGUGUAGCGGUGAAAUGCGCAGAUAUCGGGAGGAACACCGGUGGCGAAGGCGGUUCUCUGGGCCUUACCUGACGCUGAGGAGCGAAAGCGUGGGGAGCGAACAGG